rnacentral:rRNA from 1 species
GGAUCAACACGUCGGUCGUGCCUUCGGUAUGAACUGGCGUCGUUGGUUUCUCCCUUCUGACGAACCAAGAUGUCAUUAAGUUGGUGUUUUGGGGAGUUAGGACUGUUACUUUGAAAAAAUUAGAGUGUUUAAAGCAGGCAAACGCUUGAAUACAUUAGCAUGGAAUAAUGAAAUAGGACGUUCGAUCCUAUUUCGUUGGUUUCUAGGAUCAACGUA